rnacentral:lncRNA from 1 species
UUUGUUUACUGCAAGUUGAAUGUAUAACCUUGCACAUCAUUCAUAUAUUCAUUUGAUCAAUUAGUUUAUUGUUUUUACGUCAUAUUAUGUUGUAAUCUUGCUUUUUAAUAUUUUGAUGAAUGGAUAUGAAUAAGUAUUGUGUAAUCUCUGAGAUAUAAAAAAAAAAGUAUGCGUGCAAUAAGCUAUUUGCCAAUUACCGUUAUUGACCCUGAAAUUAGAGAUCCCUUUUUUAGUUGUCUCCCUUAUGAGGGACAUUAAUUUUUAUUUACAAUGAAGAGCUAGCAGAAGAGCAAAUUUACUGUGUAAUGUGAGUAAUCUAUAAGGUUUUCAAAUCUUUUAAUUACAUUCAUUUGUUGUUUUGCUAAAUACUUUUGACAUCAGAAAUUAUUUUUCAUGAAAAAUUAGUGAAACCGGCGAUACAUCGCUUUCAAUUCAUCAUGCUUUACAUUGACAAAAGCCCAUUUUGUCUGGUAUUGAACCAGUCUAUUAUUGACAAAGGGAAGUAAUUUGUUUAAAAAGUGUGUAAUAACAGAAUCAAAUUGGUAAUUGGCAAAAAACCUAUUAGUUCAAUUCGUCAUGUUUAAUAAAAUUUAGAGAGUGUUUUUGUUACAAUUAACAAAAUUGAUAUUAGGUUGUUUUUUUCUUGUAUAAAGUGAGUAUGUUAGCCUCAACUAUGACCUCUUUGAAAGAGGAAAUGUUUUGUUUUUGUUGUUGUAGGAUUGUGUUUCUAAAACUAUUGGAUGUGUUUCUAUGUUAUUUAU